CAGCACCUCAAGUGGUCAGGAUGAUUAUUGGGCCUAAAGCAUCCGUAGCCGGCUCUGUAAGUUUUCGGUUAAAUCUGUAUGCUCAACAUACAGGCUGCCGGGAAUACUGCAGAGCUAGGGAGUGGGAGAGGUAGACGGUACUCGGUAGGAAGGGGUAAAAUCCUUUGAUCUAUUGAUGACCACCUGUGGCGAAGGCGGUCUACCAGAACACGUCCGACGGUGAGGGAUGAAAGCUGGGGGAGCAAACCGGAUUAGAUACCCCAGUAGUCC
rnacentral:rRNA from 1 species